UUCGCAAUGCCCGAAAGGGUGACGAAGCGACGCCGCGUGUGGGAAGAAGGCCUUCGGGUUGUAAACCCCUGUCAGGAGUUAGGAAGGUGCAGGGUGUAAAUAGCGUCCUGCAUUGACGAAGGCUUCAGAGGAAGUCAUGGCUAACUCUGUGCCAGCAGCCGCGGUAAUACAGAGAUGGCAAGCGUUGUUCGGAAUUAUUGGGCGUAAAGAGCACGUAGGCGGCUCUGCAAGUCAGCUGUGAAAGCCUUCUGCUUAACGGAAGAACAGCAGUUGAAACUACAGGGCUUGAGUGCGGGAGGGAAGAGUGGAACUUCUGGUGGAGCGGUGAAAUGCGUAGAUAUCAGAAGGAACGCCGGCGGCGAAAGCGGCUCUCUGGUCCGCAACUGACGCUGAGUGUGCGAAAGCUAGGGGAGCAAACGGGAUUAGAUACCCCGGUAGUCCUAGCCGUAAACGAUGGGCACUAAGUAGAGGGGUUU
rnacentral:rRNA from 1 species